rnacentral:rRNA from 1 species
AGUGAACGCUGGCGGUAGGCCUAACACAUGCAAGUCGAACGGCAGCACAGUAAGAGCUUGCUCUUACGGGUGGCGAGUGGCGGACGGGUGAGGAAUAUAUCGGAAUCUACUUUUUCGUGGGGGAUCACGUAGGGAAACUUACGCUAAUACCGCAUACGACCUACGGGUGAAAGCAGGGGAUCUUCGGACCUUGCGCGAUUGAAUGAGCCGAUGUCGGAGUAGCUAGUUGGCGGGGUAAAGGCCCACCAAGGCGACGAUCCGUAGCUGGUCUGAGAGGAUGGUCAGCGACACUGGAACUGAGACACGGUCCAGACUCCUACGGGAGGCAGCAGUGGGGAAUAUUGGACAAUGGGCGCAAGCCUGAUCCAGCCAUACCGCGUGGGUGAAGAAGGCCUUCGGGUUGUAAAGCCCUUUUGUUGGGAAAGAAAAGCAGCAGGUUAAUACCCCGCUGUUCUGACGGUACCCAAAGAAUAAGCACCGGCUAACUUCGUG